ensembl:lncRNA
AGUUCCAACCAGGUGGACUCUCAAUGUCUUGCAAGCGACACCUAGAAGCAGGUACAGGCAGGAGGCACAGCACCCUGCAACCUCCAGGGGCCUUUGUGCAAAUGUUCAUGUCCUAGAAGCACGUGGCGGAGCACGUCCUGGGAUCAAGGUGCCAUGGACAGGAAAAUGCAGCUCUGGACAUACAGGCUUGGCGGAGUUCCUGUGUGAAGACAAAAUUCCCAGUACUCCAGAAACGUGGAGGCAGAAGAGCAGUGACAAGAUGAUGCCUUUGGUGUUCCCUCUCCAGAUGCUCAUCUGGAUCCAGAUUUUGCGCCUCAGGGGAAACCCAGAGGCCCUCUUGGUCAAUCUGCAGAGUGGAAUCCUGACCCUGAGCCUGGUAUGGAUGCUGGAGAAGUGCCCCCAGGGAAGGCCUUGCCAAGUCCUCGGCUCUUUCCUGUGCUGGAGCCCCGCUGGAAUCCCAGGGGUCUGGAAAAAGGAAAGGAUGCAUCUAGAAGAGGAAAAUACUCACAGAGGUCAUCUCGUGUGAUAAAGGAACUGCUGAAGGAAAUGGAGAAGGCAGUGCGUGGGACUGACCAACAAACUGCACAGGACGCGCUGCAGGAAGGCAGCCAUCCCACGCUGCCAGUCUGGGACAGAGAAACACAGACAGCGCCAACAACUGGCAUGCCAGGGAUGAAUGCUGGGAAAAACACAAGGGCUGCGGUUCAGGAGUUUGUACAAGUGCUCUUCUUCCCAGUGAUUGCACUGCUUUUAACAGUGCUGCUGUCUGCGCUGGUGAUGACUUGUACUGCUGUGUCAUGGAUGUGGCAAAAAUAUCCAGUGUGCAAGAGAGCAGAGACAACUCCAGGACAAGCUCAUCCUGACAGUGUGCGGGAGAGAGGCCAGUCUGGAGGUGAAGGCAGAGCGGAGCUGGGAGAGGCAACAAAAGAUGAUGUAGUUGCCCAAGAAAACAAGAACUUGUACAGCGGAUCCAGCCCGUUCCCCUCCUCCUUUGAAGCAGAGUUUGAAUACCUGUGCAGCAAAAUCCGCACAGACCCUUCACUUUGGCCCACGUGUCCCAGCAGCUCUCCCAUGGACAGUGUCUCUUCCCCAG